AUACGUAGGUGGCAAGCGUUAUCCGGAAUUAUUGGGCGUAAAGAGGGAGCAGGCGGCAGCAAGGGUCUGUGGUGAAAGCCUGAAGCUUAACUUCAGUAAGCCAUAGAAACCAGGCAGCUAGAGUGCAGGAGAGGAUCGUGGAAUUCAAUGUGUAGCGGUGAAAUGCGUAGAUAUAUGGAGGAACACCAGUGGCGAAGGCGACGAUCUGGCCUGCAACUGACGCUCAGUCCCGAAAGCGUGGGGAGCAAAUAGGAUUAGAUACCCUAGUAGUCCACGCCGUAAACGAUGAGUACUAAGUGUUGGAUGUCAAAGUUCAGUGCUGCAGUUAACGCAAUAAGUACUCCGCCUGAGUAGUACGUUCGCAAGAAUGAAACUCAAAUGAAUUGGCGGGG
rnacentral:rRNA from 1 species